rnacentral:rRNA from 1 species
UACGGAGGGUGCAAGCGUUAUCCGGAAUCACUGGGUUUAAAGGGUGCGUAGGCGGUCAGAUAAGUCAGUUGUGAAAUACCCCGGCUUAACCGGCGGAACUGCGAUUGAUACUGUUUGACUUGAAUCAGGUUGAGGUAGGCGGAAUGAGGCAGUGUAGCGGUGAAAUGCUUAGAUAUGCCAUAGAACACCGAUUGCGAAGGCAGCUUGCUGGACCUGUAUUGACCGCUGAGGCACGAAAGCGUGG